ACAAGAAAGAAGCCUCCCUCUGCACAGAGAACUGUGGGGAACGCAGUCCCGAGCAUGUCUUCAAUGUCCCACAUGUAAACCUGAUCUGGGGCAUGUGAGGUGGCCCCAACUUGUCUGUGUCAUCUGCAGACAUACUGAGGGUGCACCCAAUUCCCUCAUCUAGAUGUGAUACUAAACAGAACAGGCCCCAGUACCGACCCCUGAGUCGUGUACCCCUUUUUGCAUCUGGCCCAAAGGUGCAACAUCCAUUGGCAAGCAUCGUACAGAAGAGAGAUCCAGAUUCCCAGACAGUGGAUAGCAAUUCCCAGAAGUGGAGGACUGCAGUAAUCCUUCUUCUCAUACCCAGCCCUCCUCUUUGUUCCCCCUUUUCUGUCUGCCAUUAGUUAGGAUCUCUACGAAAGUCUUUUAUGCUAUUAUUGGAUUGCAAAACCCUUUGGACAAGAACUCUACAGCUUGUUGAUCAGUUUAAUGUCCAUGUCAUUUUCAAAACAAAUUUAGAAGCACAUUAAUCCUCUUGUAUUGUGGUUUUUUUGCAAGCUGCCAGCACCGAUACCUUGCUUAUACGAGUCCUUUGCUGAUUUAUCCCAGAGAUGAACAAACCCAUCAAACUUAGUAGGUGGUGGAACACAUUUCAAUCUGUUUUAUUUCUGUUAUUAAAAAACCUCUUAGGCAUUCCAGGAUCAACAGGAAUUGGAUAAAUUAUCACUUCAUUUUCUCAUAUUUUUAGAACCAACACCAGGCAUACAAAUGAAGGGCUCUUCAAAAUAUUUAUUUCUACUAAAAGUUUUACCUACAACAGUAAAAACAUCAUCAGCUGCACCGGUUCCAUUUAACGAUACUCUUCAAAUUACAUCUUCAAUUAUAGCCAGAAUGAAAGGUAGAGAAGGAAGCAAGUAAAUAAAUGCAUUUGGGCACAGCUAGAGUGCAUCCAGUCCUUUAUAACUAAAUGUUGCAGUAAGUGUGUAACACUGGGAAAUAAUUUGCCUUAAGGCUGAAUUUCAGCUGUUUCAGAUAAGCAAUUGAGUUUAGAUGGGUGAAGUUUUAUGGCUCUAAUAAGAAGGUCUGGUUUUCUGGCACCGCUAUGCACUGGAGACUUAUAUUAGUUUUGAAAAAGAGGAAAAAAUUAUAAAAGUCUUUGCACCAAAUUCUAC
ensembl:lncRNA